GGAUAUAUGAGUGAUAGUCUCAAAGAGCUCAGACAUUCCUCUGCAAACACAGUGACCACUGCUGCACAGAAUCAGAUCCGGUAAUCCGGUUUUAUACAGAGAUCCAAAAUAUCAGUGGACAGAUCUGUUACUACGUAAAACUGCGAACAGUAAGAAAUGGAGCUCCUGACAACCACCCUGGUCAUCGUUCUUCUUACAACAACAGCGUCAGCUAAGCCAAUGGGCUUAAGACGGCAUCAUGAUGCUGACAUCACUGAAAAUAACUGGAGACAUGGGUGGCUGCAUGAGAAUCGAGAAUCCAGUGAGUCUCACAGCGAAUCCUCGGAAAGUCAGUCUUCUGAGGAAAGUCGUUCUUCUGAGGAAAGUCAGUCUUCUGAGGAACUUCUCACCACUAAAGGGACCACGGAGGUUGUGCCGACUGACACCAUGACAACUGCUUCCAUGACAGGCAUCACUUCUGGAGAUGGAAGUACGCUCGCCCCCGAACCGGGCACAAUUGUGUUAAAUACAACACUUGUGAUGGAGACAACGCCCCAGCCAGAAAUACUGAGCACACCUGGAAAUGUCACCCAACCAUGUAAUGCAACUCAGUGUUUUACAGAUGUGAUUCCAACAGCAGUUCCAAUCACAAACAGGGGAGACAAUUAGGCUACAGUUAAACAACAUGUAACCAUACUUGUAUUAAAGGUCCUUUCAUAAAUGUUCUGCUUGGGAUUGAUGUCGGCUGGCUUCAUCCACUUUAAAACACCAUAGAUCUAAUCUAAUCUUUUCUGGUGAUAAGUUUACAUUUAAGAACAUAAUAUGUAAGAAUGGGGAGUUUAAUACAUACAUCCAACUUGGAUUGGUAUUGCAGAAUGAAUGUAAUAGACUAAAUUUUACAGUAACUCAAGGAACUGAGAAAGGUAAAUUUGGCUACACCCACUUAGUUUCAAACCAGUUUGGGAAACCAGAGACAGAGAUUUAAAGGAGGGUUUGUGUAUGUGUAGGAAAAGAAUUGGAUAAUAGUCUAAAGAAUGCGAUGUGGUGAUAAUAUUACAAUAAUGCCUGGCUAAUCUGAUUGAAUUUACAGGAGCAGGAGGCAGUCAGUUGGAAAAGACUAUGACUAUAAACAUCAAUAAAUGUAUGAGGACAUCAUCAAAUCAAACAAAAUUUUAAAAGUAAAAUUUCAGAGCUUGGAAAGGCCCACUUGUAGAAGUUUUCUUCAAACACAAUUCAGUGUAAUGCAUGAUUUAUGCCUCUGCGUCAAUUUGACACCGUAGCUAUCGCAACAGCCCAGACAUUACGCAGACCCUACGUUAACAGAAACCACAAGAGCUGCUGUGAUUGGUCCGCUUGGUAGCAGCGUGGUUACGUUUCUCAAUCUCCGCAAUUUACAAACUGAUUGUCUCCCGCAGAAGCAUAAACCGCACUUAAUGAGGAUAUAUUUAUCUGUACAUUCAUAGGUUCUCAGUACCAAGAACAGCAGAUAGCUAACUCAGCAUUUUUUUCGCCAGUAUAUAAACAAAUAAACAUUCCACAAACCAUUUGACGAUCCUCUCCUGGUGAUAUUUUUCUAAAAAUGCAACUAAAUUUUUAUCUUUGUAUGGCAUAAUCCAUUUUAUCAAAUUUUACACAGGGAAAGAAUAUAUAUAUAUCGAAAUAUGACAAAAUAUUAAGAUGUUGUUCUAUAUGGGUUUUAAGUUCAAGGAAGAACAUAAAGUUAGAGGGAAAAAAAGAGUUUAGAGAAAGUUAAAAAGGAGCCACUGAUACCUACUGACAUAGUUUUGUUAACUGAGAUGUGUACUUUAAUAUGAUCAUAUACUGUAUGUGUGCGAGGAUCAUCAUUCUGCUUAAACAUACAUUCACAUUACUAUUCAUUCACUGUUUUGUAAGUGACAUGCUGAUCUGCAUUGGUUUAGUCUUACAAUCACUGUAUGCCAAAAAUAGUUAUUCAGUUUUUCUAUAAAGAUCUGAUUAUAUACUGUUUAUAUGCUUAUUUUGUGACUGAGGUGAUACUUUUUUUUUUCAAAGCAAGUCUAAUAGUUGUUAUUCUGCAUAAGGUACCAUGAGUAUGUAUCCCACAGCAAAUAUGUUGGCAAGGGUGUGUCAUGUUUGUCUUGUCGGUUCUUGCCUGUUGUCCGUACAUGCUGACAAAUAGGCACAGUUGUUGUCACAGUGGGUUUGCUUUAAUUAUAGGUUAUAAAUUUUAAUUUUCUCAAAUUAAGCGUAGCAUAGACAGCCAAAGAACAAUACCUUAAGGUUGCUGGUUUGUUCUGUAUUAAAUAGUGGUGUGUCUCAUUUUGCUAACUGGAUCUAAUAUGUAUUAAUGUAAGUGAUUGUAACGAGUGACGAUUGUUAAGUGUUGUGUAACAGCAUUGGCUUGUCUACAAAAGAAAAAUAAACGAUUUGAAAGUGUCA